CCCCAUGAAACAGCUGUUUGUUGGAACGUUGGUUUUCAGAAGAGUUGUUCUGCUGAUUAUAUUAUAUUACAUAUUAUAUAAAUAUUACAUAUUUUUCUGCAUUUCAUUUGGGUACUUAACAAAUUAUAAAAGGCAAAAUAUUCAAGGUUAAGGUUAGUCAAGGUUUUAAGACCAAAGUCAGUCAUAGUUAAGUCGAAUCUUAGAAUAAAACAAGCUGUUUUUCUUUGCUGCUACAUCAUAACAUCAAUAUGUAAAUAAACUAUGUUCUGAUUGGUUGAACACGACAGGUUGUUUUUGCCACUUGUACCUUUAAGAUUUAAAUCUGUUAUAAUUGGUUAACUUAAUUUAAAAAUGAUUAAAUUACUCAGAUUAUGAGUAAGUAUGUUCAAUGUUGUAAUCCUCUCCUGCAGGUAUUAUGGGUUAUGGAUGUGGUAUCCGGAGCUUUUUAAGAGAACCGAGGAUGGAGGGUAUUCACGCGCCAAUGUGUCUCGAGUCCAAAACUCAGAAAAUGAAAGCUGCGAUCUAGUCAAAACUGCAUGUUAAUGUUACUAAAAGCAGACUGAAUGAGACCACUCAAUAUUUUUCUCAUCAGCAAAAGCACAAAAAAUGUGAAAUUUGUUAGUUAUCAGGAAGUGAAUUUUGUUGUCAUGAUAUUCAAGUAUUUUUUUUUUAUCAAGGCUUCGUGUCGUUUGAAUGUGUUCAUGUGUUUUUUAUAGUGUACGUGGAGGGUUUUAUAACAGCUGCUUCAAAUUUGCCAGGAAACAUCUUCACUAUCCUGUAUAUGGACAGAAUUGGUGGGAAAAUCCUGCUUUGUUAGUACAUAAGGUUUUGUCUUCCAGUGUUUGAAUGACAGCUCAAAAUAUUUAAUUACUACACUUAACAAAACAUUCAAGAAUAAAGUGCUAUAAUUAUUAUUAUAAUAAUGAUGCAGAUUUUUCUCUGCAUGAGCGUGUUCAUUAUCUAUGUAGUAAAGACCAAAGCUCAGAGUGUGAUCAUGUCUUGCGUGUUAAGCGGCGUCUAUGUCAUCUCCUGGAACGCUCUAGACGUGUUGGGAACUGAACUUUACCCCACACAACUACGCUCAUCAGAUCUGGGGGUUUUCACUGCAGUGGGUCGUGUGGCAGCCAUCAUG
ensembl:lncRNA